AGUGAACGCUGGCGGCGUGCUUAACACAUGCAAGUCGAACGAGAACGGAUUAUAGCUUGCUAUAAUUGUCAGCUAAGUGGCGCACGGGUGAGUAAUGUAUAGGUAAUAUGCCUCUUACUAAGGGAUAACAAAUGGAAACGUUUGCUAAUACCUUAUACUCCUUAUUAACAGAAGUUAAUAAGGGAAAGAUUUAUUGGUAAGAGAUUAGCCUGUAUUGUAUCAGUUAGUUGUGGGGUAAUGGCUUACCAAGACUAUGACACAUAACUGGUUUGAGAGGAUGAUCAGUCACACUGGAACUGAGACACGGUCCAGACUCCUACGGGAGGCAGCAGUGGGGAAUAUUGCACAAUGGCGAAAGUCUGAUGCAGCAACGCCGCGUGGAGGAUGACACAUUUCGGUGCGUAAACNCCUUUUAUAUGGGAAGAUAAUGACGGUACCAUAUGAAUAAGCACCGGCUAACUCGUG
rnacentral:rRNA from 1 species